CAUUCGUAAGUCUACGAGGUAAUAGAGUAAACCAAAAUUUAACCGGUCUAACAUCGAAAAUGAUAGAUUUACGUGAUGAGAAUGUUAAAAGUACAAUAAACAAUGGAAAAUAUGGUAAUUUAAAUAUACCAGUUACGUCGCAACAAGGGUUAGCACCACUUAGUCCAUAUUUAAACUUUGAUCCUGCGUAUCUUCCUCCAAGUCAACCAGAAUAUAUAUUUCCUGAGGGAGCUGCAAAACGAAGAGGAAGAUUUGAAUUGGCUUUCAGUCAAAUUGGUGCAGCAUGUAUCAUAGGAGCUGGUAUUGGCGGUGCAACUGGUUUAUAUAGAGGAAUUAAAGCAACAUCAUUAGCUGAUCAAACUGGCAAACUUAGAAGAACUCAAUUAAUCAACCAUGUUAUGAAAAGUGGUUCGUCGUUAGCAAACACGUUUGGAAUAGUGUCUGUAAUGUAUAGUGGAUUUGGUGUGUUGUUAUCUUGGGCUAGAGGUACGGAUGAUUCCUUGAAUACUUUAGCAGCAGCAACUGGGACAGGCAUGUUAUUUAAAUCUACAUCUGGCUUGAAAAAAUGUGCAUUAGGUGGUUGUGUAGGACUGGGAAUAGCAUCUGUAUAUUGCUUAUGGAGUAAUCGGGAAGUCUUACAGGAAUUGAGGCAUCGCAACGUAAAUCCGGCGUAAGACUGUGUGUAACACCAAAACCUCUGGCUAUUCCGAAUAUUUUCCUUAUAAAGAUCUAAAUGAAGUAUGAGCAAGAAGAUUUUGAGCUACUAGAAAUUUGCACAACGAAAAUGAUUCGUUUUGUACAUAGAGAAAAUCAUGUUGGACAAUUUUAUAGAAUAUAAAUAGUUUAAUGAAA